rnacentral:rRNA from 1 species
UAUGUGAUCGUCUCUUGCAUAUCAAUAAGCGGAGGAAAAGAAACUAACAAGGAUUCCCCUAGUAACGGCGAGUGAAGCGGGAAGAGCUCAAAUUUGAAAUCUUAAAGGGUUUCCCUUUACGAAUUGUAGUUUAAAGAAGUGUUUUCUGUUGAGGUUUUGGUAAAAGUUCUUUGGAAUAGGACAUCAUAGAGGGUGAGAAUCCCGUAUUUGACCUUUACUUUCAACUUUGUGAUACACUUUCAAAGAGUCGGAUUGUUUGGGAAUGCAGUCCAAAAUGGGUGGUAAAUUUCAUCUAAAGCUAAAUAUUGGCGAGAGACCGAUAGCGAACAAGUACCGUGAGGGAAAGAUGAAAAGAACUUUGAAAAGAGAGUUAAACAGUACGUGAAAUUGUCAAAAGGGAAGCGUUUGACACCAGUGUUGUUUUUCUGAAAAUCAAUUAAAGAACUGUUUAUGCUAAGUUGUUUAGACUUUAUCAGCUAUCUGUUUAGUUUUGAGCUUUUCUUUAAUGCACUUUUCAGUUAACAAGUCAACAUCAAUUUCUUUUGCUGUAAAAAAGCUUGAGGAAGGUGGCUUGAGAUUCGUCUUAAGUGUUUAUAGCCUCUUGCCUAUGCAGUCGGAGAGAUUGAGGUCUGCAGCGUAGAUCCUUCGGGGCUAAAUGCAUUUGUGCUAAGUUAUAGCAUUUUAUAGACAACUUGUUGACUAUGAUUUGUCUUGUAGCUUACUCGCUUAUGUUAUUUUACCUACGCUUAGGAUGUUGAAGAUAUGCGCGACACG